AUACGGAGGAUCCAAGCGUUAUCCGGAUUUAUUGGGUUUAAAGGGUGCGCAGGCGGCCUUAUAAGUCAGUGGUGAAAUCUCCCGGCUCAACCGGGAAACUGCCAUUGAUACUGUAAGGCUAGAAUACAGACGAGGUGGGCGGAAUGUAGCAUGUAGCGGUGAAAUGCUUAGAUAUGCUACAGAACACCGAUCGCGAAGGCAGCUUACCAGACUGUAAUUGACGCUAAGGCACGAAAGCGUGGGGAGCGAACAGGAUUAGAUACCCCAGUAGUCC
rnacentral:rRNA from 1 species